GAUGAACGCUGGCGGCGUGCCUAAUACAUGCAAGUCGAACGAAACUUCUUUAUCACCGAGUGCUUGCACUCACCGAUACAGAGUUGAGUGGCGAACGGGUGAGUAACACGUGGGCAACCUGCCCAAAAGAGGGGGAUAACACUUGGAAACAGGUGCUAAUACCGCAUAACCAUAGUUACCGCAUGGUAACUAUGUAAAAGGUGGCUAUACUACCGCUUUUGGAUGGGCCCGCGGCGCAUUAGCUAGUUGGUAGGGUAAAGGCUUACCAAGGCAAUGAUGCGUAGCCGAAUUGAGAGGUUGAUCAGCCACAUUGGGACUGAGACACGGCCCAAACUCCUACGGGAGGCAGCAGUAGGGAAUCUUCCACAAUGGGCGAAAGCCUGAUGGAGCAACGCCGCGUGGGUGAAGAAGGUCUUCGGAUCGUAAAACCCUGUUGUUAGAGAAGAAAGUGCGUGAGAGUAACUGUUCACGUUUCGACGGUAUCUAACCAGAAAGCCACGGCUAACUACGUG
rnacentral:rRNA from 1 species